GAUGAACGCUAGCGAUAGGCUUAACACAUGCAAGUCGAGGGGCAGCACAAGGUAGCUUGCUAUCUGGGUGGCGACCGGCGCACGGGUGCGUAACGCGUAUGCAACUUGCCCUAUACAGGAGGAUAACCCGUCGAAAGACGGACUAAUACUGCGUAUGCUCACAACUUGGCAUCAAGUGGUGAGGAAAGAAAUUCGGUAUAGGAUAGGCAUGCGUCCCAUUAGCUUGUUGGUGAGGUAACGGCUCACCAAGGCAGCGAUGGGUAGGGGAACUGAGAGGUUUAUCCCCCACACUGGUACUGAGACACGGACCAGACUCCUACGGGAGGCAGCAGUGAGGAAUAGUGGUCAAUGGGCGCGAGCCUGAACCAGCCAAGUCGCGUGAAGGAUGACUGUCUUAUGGAUUGUAAACUUCUUUUAUACGGGAAUAACAAGAGUCACGUGUGACUCCCUGCAUGUACCGUAUGAAUAAGCAUCGGCUAACUCCGUG
rnacentral:rRNA from 1 species